UACGUAGGUGGCAAGCGUUGUUCGGAAUUACUGGGCGUAAAGGGCGCGUAGGCGGCCUUCUAAGUCAGACGUGAAAUCCCCAGGCUUAACUUGGGAACUGCGUCUGAUACUGGGAGGCUUGAGUGCGGGAGAGGGAUGUGGAAUUCCAGGUGUAGCGGUGAAAUGCGUAGAUAUCUGGAGGAACACCGGUGGCGAAGGCGGCAUCCUGGACCGACACUGACGCUGAGGCGCGAAAGCCAGGGGAGCAAACGGG
rnacentral:rRNA from 1 species